rnacentral:rRNA from 1 species
UACGGAGGGUGCAAGCGUUAUCCGGAUUCACUGGGUUUAAAGGGUGCGUAGGUGGAUUGGUAAGUCAGUGGUGAAAUCUCCGGGCUUAACCCGGAAACUGCCAUUGAUACUAUCAGUCUUGAAUACCGUGGAGGUCAGUAGAAUAUGUCAUGUAGCGGUGAAAUGCUUAGAUAUGACAUAGAAGACCAAUUGCGAAGGCAGCUGGCUACACGAAUAUUGACACUCAGGCACGAAAGCGUGGGGAUCAAACAGG